GUCAGCAACUGUAUCAACCUGAAACUCACAAAUGGGAAGCCACUGAAGAUCAGCAGGUUUGAGCCAGGUAUUCAGUACCUGGAUGGGAGACCUCCUAGGAAAAGCCAAGGUUGCUGCUGAAA
rnacentral:rRNA from 1 species